GACCCGGUGGUGCAAUAGUAGCACACCUGCAUAUUAUAGACUAGUUUGUUGAAUAAUUUGUGCAGGAGACCCCCGUUCGACUCGGGGUUGGGUCA